AGCAGUAGCCGCGGGAAUACGAAGGGGGCUAGCGUUGCUCGGAAUGACUGGGCGUAAAGGGCGCGUAGGCGGUUUGUCGAGUUAGAUGUGAAAUUCCCGGGCUUAACCCGGGGACUGCAUUUGAUACUGGCAGGCUUGAGUGUGGAAGAGGGUCGUGGAAUUCCCAGUGUAGAGGUGAAAUUCGUAGAUAUUGGGAAGAACACCGGUGGCGAAGGCGGCGACCUGGUCCACUUCUGACGCUGAGGCGCGAAAGCGUGGGGAGCAAACCGGAUUAGAUACCCCGGUAGUCCCUGUCUCUUAUAC
rnacentral:rRNA from 1 species